CCGCGUCUCUACUUCCUCCCACUAUCUAGAAGUGAAGCCAAAAUGUCCCCAGUAUGAGCGCUGCCAUCUUGUGUGGAGCCAGAGUCUUCGCCCUAGCUGGGAAUUGAAAGCACAAACUCCACCAAAUCAGAGACAUGGACUCCGGGAAACAGAUGAAUCAUCAGAUGGAGGAUGAUCCAGACAGAGAGAGAAAAGAAGAUGUUUUAUCUGUUCUCCCCACAACACAAGACACCUCAGAGAGUGAAUAAUUGAUACGAUACCUCGCAGAGACAAGGAGUUACUUUGUUCCACUUUCUACUCUGAUGGACUACUGUUGACCUUGUUUUCUCCUGGGGAAGCAGCACACACAUACAACAGCCUUGAUGAGUCUUUAGAAACAUGUACAGGGAGCAGCAGAUGCAGUGGAAUAAUGAGAAACGAGAGGCAAUUUUCUGCUUCAUCUAUCACCAUGUAUGUACACAGCAGACAGUGUGUCACACUGUGCCGAUACUGAUUUCAGCCCCGGGUAAAAAACGUGGUGACAUUAUCUUGACAUGAUAAGAGUUGUAAAGGCGUCCACAUCAGAUACGCCUACAGCGCAGCUUUGUGCCAAAAUAUACAUAAGUGUCAAAAUAUACAGUAUGACAACACCAAUGAAAAACAUCAGAUGGACAAUGCCUUCCCUAUGCAUGCUGUAUAUACCCCAAUCAGAAAUGUAGAUAGUGUCUCUCAAUUGGUUGCAAGUGAAUGCAUCGGUACAUUAUAUAAAUAGUCAUUAUCUGUCUUCAUAGCAACAUCAUGAUUAUUUUUCAAUCUAUACAAACCUUAGGUCAUAUCACUGGUCCUAAAGGACGCAGAGAUGCAUGAGAAAAUACAUUUUUAAACUACAAUGUAGCGUGCAUACCUCCACCAAGUCAUCUCAAAUUCAACCAAGCUAAACUCAACUCUACAGUCCUGAAUAUACCAGUCUCCUGAAUAUACCAGAUGUCUUUUAUUAAUAUCCACGAAGUGCUCUCUGAGAAAUCUGCUAAAAUGUUAAAUAACAAAUAAUUAAAAAACGGCUCAUCUGGGGAGGUUAAGGAAAGUGAAACAAAUUCCAGACCUGCACCAAAAUGUAAUGGGUUCUUCACUCACCCAUAAUGCAUCCUUCGACCAAGGUCUGUGGUCAUUUGUCGAGUAGUUUUCAUACAAUCUUGGUAACUAACAAAAAAAACAAUCACCAAACAAAUGGACAGGGGCGAAAACUUCCUUGGUGGAAGUAACUAUGCAUGACGUCACUUAUCAUAUAAUAUUAUAUGAUGUGGAAAAAUGUUCUGAUAAAUUUAAGCUUCAAAUUGUCUCCUAAUAGUCAUAUAUUUGCUGAGAUAUUUUGUUUCUCGGACCACAUUUGACCUGGACCUUUAACAAAGCAGCUCAAUUGUUGAGUUACACAAACAUUCAACACACACACACACACAAACACGGAUGAAAACACCCUGCAGGCUACAAAUUAGUAUGGAAACAUAAGCAUGUAGUAUGCAUUGACUCUCACAUUA